GAUGAACGCUGGCGGCGUGCUUAACACAUGCAAGUCGAGCGAGUGAGUUCUUCGGAACGAUCUAGCGGCGGACGGGUGAGUAACACGUGGGCAACCUGCCUCAUAGAGGGGAAUAGCCUCCCGAAAGGGAGAUUAAUACCGCAUAACAUCGUUGAAGGGCAUCCUUCGAUGAUCAAAGGAGCAAUCCGCUAUGAGAUGGGCCCGCGGCGCAUUAGCUAGUUGGUGAGGUAACAGCUCACCAAGGCGACGAUGCGUAGCCGACCUGAGAGGGUGAUCGGCCACAUUGGGACUGAGACACGGCCCAGACUCCUACGGGAGGCAGCAGUGGGGAAUAUUGCACAAUGGGGGAAACCCUGAUGCAGCAACGCCGCGUGAGUGAUGACGGCCUUCGGGUUGUAAAGCGCUGUCUUUGGGGACGAUAAUGACGGUACCCAAGGAGGAAGUCACGGCUAACUACGUGCCAGCCGCCGCCGUAA
rnacentral:rRNA from 1 species